rnacentral:rRNA from 1 species
CCUACGGGAGGCAGCAGUAGGGAAUUUUCGUCAAUGGGCGCAAGCCUGAACGAGCAAUGCCGCGUGAACGAGGAAGGUCUUCGGAUCGUAAAGUUCUGUUGAAGGGGAAAAAGAGCGGAGAGAGGAAAUGGUCUCCGAUUGAUAUUACCCUUCGAGGAAGUCACGGCUAACUACGUGCCAGCAGCGGCGGUAAUAGGUAGGUGGCGAGCGUUAUCCGGAAUGAUUGGGCGUAAAGGGGGCGUAGGGGGCCUGCUAAGUCUGGAGUGAAAGGUACCGGCUCAACCGGUACCGGCUCUGGAAACUGGCGGGCUAGAGAGCAGGAGAGGGCGGUGGAACUCCAUGUGUAGCGGUAAAAUGCGUAGAUAUAUGGAAGAACACCAGUGGCGAAGGCGGCCGCCUGGCCUGUUACUGACGCUGAGGCACGAAAGCGUGGGGAGCAAAUAGGAUUAGAUACCCUUGUAGUC